ensembl:lncRNA
UCGCGCACGCAGAGCGGGAACAAAAGCAAUCGAGCCGCAAUGGAGGAGCGUUUAGCUGUGCGUGUGAUGCUGCAGAGCCUCAGAGCUGCUUCUCCUCUAACUUUCAUCCUUCACUUUCAUUUGAAGCUGAAGACACGAGGACGCGCACGUUUUGAAAGUGUCUCAUUGAUGAACUCUGCUUCAGUCCAUACAGGUAAACCGUCUUCAGUUUAAUCUACUGCCACUGAAUCCAUUUCAGCGACAGUCUACUGUAAAUAGUGUACGAGCAUCAUACAUUUUAAUAUGUGUUUCAUAAAGACUAAUUUGAUUUAGUUUUAUUCACAGUACAUUUCUAAAAUAGAAUUAGGAUGUUAAUGCAUUUUGUGUGUGUGUGUGUUGAUCCAUAGCAGUAUUUUGCUUAGAGGGUUUCAUUUUCAUCUCUCCUGUUCUACAGUCAGUAGAAACUGGGUUUAUGCUAUUAAUGAAUGCAUAAUGCCAGAUUUAUGGUUUAUUUCAUCGCAGAAUAAUCUCAAUGAUAAUUCAGAGUAAAGGUUAUUCUUUAUCAAAAAAACGAAUGCACAUGAACCAGAGAAUAUAUUAAUCAAACAUCAUUAAUGCAAAAUACAGAAUAUAUUGUAAAAUAGACACUUCAAGAUUCCCAAAUGUCAAGAUUAAGCAGUCUAAUCUAAUCAUGUAUCAUUAGAUAACAAUGUUUAGGAUAAUAACCUAAGCAUUGUUUAGGGACUUGUACUGCUUCGUCUCCAAAACUUGAUGAGCUCAACGUUAUGCAGCGAACAGGCAGGAGAUUGUGUUUGAAGAAUCCAGAGGCCCAGUUCUGUCUGUCAUUGACCAGAGUGACUUAUUUUUGUCAUGUCUUUGCAGUGAUGCUUAUUUUAGUGUUAAAGAACAUCAAAAACCAUAAAUAUUAAAAUUAACGUCCACAAAUGACUCUUUCUGAAUGCACAACCAGCUAAACUGAAAACAGUGUUAUUUUAGCCUUAAAGAACAACAACAAAAUCCAAUAAUUAUUAAAAAUUCAUGUCCACAAACGACUCUUUCUGAAUGCACAAACUGCUGAACUGAAAAAAAAAAAACAUUUUAGUGCUAAACCACAAUAAAACUC